rnacentral:rRNA from 1 species
CGGGGGGAGCAAGCGUUGUUCGGAUUUACUGGGCGUAAAGGGCGUGUAGGCGGCCACCGCAAGUCGACUGUGAAAUCUCCGGGCUUAACUCGGAAAGGUCAGCCGAUACUGCGGGGCUAGAGUGCAGAAGGGGCAACUGGAAUUCUCGGUGUAGCGGUGAAAUGCGUAGAUAUCGAGAGGAACACCUGCGGCGAAGGCGGGUUGCUGGGCUGACACUGACGCUGAAACGCGAAAGCUAGGGGAGCGAACGGGAUUAGAUACCCCGGUAGUCCUAGCCUUAAACGAUGAAUGCUUGGUGUCUGGGGUUUUAUAGUCCCCGGGUGCCGUCGCUAACGCUUUAAGCAUUCCGCCUGGGGAGUACGGUCGCAAGACUG